CGUUAAUAUUUUCAGUGUGAUUUUUGCAUUUCACCAGUUCAUCUGAGGGGCUGAACUGGACCCUUUGGUGGGCUGGAUUUUGGCCCCCGGACCACAUGUUUGACACCUGUGCUCUACAGUGUCCUCCAUGGUUCAGUUGAUGCUGUAAAAGUUUGGAUAUUUUUGUUUUUAUUCCAGAAACUUCUGACCUUUCCCUCCAAAUCCAAAUGAAACUACUGUCACGUAGAGCCUUUACACACAGAAAAUAAACACAUGAAAACGUGUAGACCUUAAUAAUCAGACAAAAUAUUCUUAUUUUCCUAUAAGGAAAUCCUCAUGUUUUAACCUGGUACAGUUCACAAGGAGUGGUUUUUCAUGACAUGGUCUCCAUCAUCAAACUGUGACCUUCCAUCUUCAUCCUAAUCACAUUCCAGAGGUUUUUUUUUUUGUUUGUUUAGGUCUCGUUCUUUGACCUGUU